rnacentral:rRNA from 1 species
GACGAACGCUGGCGGCGUGCUUAACACAUGCAAGUCGAGCGGUAAGGACCCUUUCGGGGGUACGACGAGCGGCGAACGGGUGAGUAACACGUGGGUGACCUGCCCUCAGCUCUGGGAUAAGCCUGGGAAACCGGGUCUAAUACUGGAUAUGACUCCAUGACGCAUGUUGUGGGGUGGAAAGCCUUGUGCGGCUGAGGAUGGGCCCGCGGCCUAUCAGCUUGUUGGUGGGGUGAGGCCUACCAAGGCGACGACGGGUAGCCGGCCUGAGAGGGCGACCGGCCACACUGGGACUGAGACACGGCCCAGACUCCUACGGGAGGCAGCAGUGGGGAAUAUUGGACAAUGGGCGCAAGCCUGAUCCAGCCAUGCCGCGUGUGUG